UUUAUACGCCCGUCUAUGACGGGACGUAUUAUGGUAUACCCCGCGUCCGUCUGUCCGUCCGUCCGUCUGUCCGUCCGUAUGUCUGUUAAUGUCGUACGCUACGUCAAAUAUCCUUUGACAGAUUUUCUUCAAAUUUUAACACAAUCUUAAUAUUGAUAAACCCUGAUCCCCUUUCGUUUUUGACGGAAUUCUGAAUUGUCGUUCCAGAGUUAUGGGACUUUGUUCGUCAAAAUUUCGUGAUUUCAUUGAAUGUCCUACUGUAGCUAUAUAAAAAUGUUAAAGUUGUUAUAACUUUGGUAUGCUUGGACCUAGAGUCUUGAAACUUGACAUGAAGGUUGGCCAGAACUAGUAAGUAACCACUGGACAUUUCAAGGUCAUUCAUUUGAAGGUCAAGGUCACUGUGACCUUGAAUGUAAAAAUGUUAAAGUUCUUAUUUCAUGUUAUAACUUUGGUAUGCUUGUACCUAGAGUCUUCAAACUUGAAAUAAAGAUUGGCCAGUACUAGAAGAUGACCACUGGUCAUUUCAAUGUCAUUCAUUUGAAGGUCAAGGUCACUGUGACCUUAAAUGUUAAAAUGUUAAAAUUGUUAUAACUUUGGUAUGCUUGGACAUAGAGUCUUCAAACUUGACAUGAAGGUUUGCAAGCACACUUAGAUGACCACUGGUCAUUUCAAGGUCAUUCAUUCUAAGGUCAAGGUCACACAAGGUCACUGUGACCUUAAAUGUUAAAAUGUUAAAAUUGUUAUAACUUUGGUAUGCUUGGACAUAGAGUCUUCAAACUUGACAUGAAGGUUUGCAAGCACACUUAGAUGACCACUGGUCAUUUCAAGGUCAUUCAUUCUAAGGUCAAGGUCACUGUGACCUUAAAUGUUAUUGUUGUUCAUGUAUCCUACCGUAGCUCAAAUAUCCCCCGAUGGAUUUUUUAUACGCCCGUCUAUGACGGGACGUAUUAUGGUAUACCCCGCGUCCGUCUGUCCGUCCGUCCGUCCGUCCGUCCGUCUGUUAAUGUCGUACGCUACGUCAAAUAUCCUUUGACAGAUUUUCUUCAAAUUUUAACACAAUCUUAAUAUUGAUAAACCCUGAUCCCCUUUCGUUUUUGACGGAAUUCUGAAUUGUCGUUCCAGAGUUAUGGGACUUUGUUCGUCAAAAUUUCUUGAUUUCAUUGAAUGUCCUACUGUAGCUCAAAUAUCCUUCGAUGGAUUUUUUUCAAAUUUCAACACAAUCUUAAUAUUGAUAAACCCUGAUCCCCUUUCGUUUUUGACGGAAUUCUGAAUUGUCGUUCCAGAGUUAUGGGACUUUGUUCGUCAAAAUUUCGUGAUUUCCAUGCUCAUGUACUUAUAAAAUAAACCAUGUAUUCAAAUACAAAUAAACUGAAGUAAAAAAAUGA